rnacentral:rRNA from 1 species
GCAGUCGAGCGGACAGAUGGGAGCUUGCUCCCUGAUGUUAGCGGCGGACGGGUGAGAAACACGUGGGUAACCUGCCUGUAAGACUGGGAUAACUCCGGGAAACCGGGGCUAAUACCGGAUGCUUGUUUGAACCGCAUGGUUCAAACAUAAAAGGUGGCUUCGGCUACCACUUACAGAUGGACCCGCGGCGCAUUAGCUAGUUGGUGAGGUAAUGGCUCACCAAGGCAACGAUGCGUAGCCGACCUGAGAGGGUGAUCGGCCACACUGGGACUGAGACACGGCCCAGACUCCUACGGGAGGCAGCAGUAGGGAAUCUUCCGCAAUGGACGAAAGUCUGACGGAGCAACGCCGCGUGAGUGAUGAAGGUUUUCGGAUCGUAAAGCUCUGUUGUUAGGGAAGAACAAGUACCGUUCGAAUAGGGCGGUACCUUGACGGUACCUAACCAGAAAGCCACGGCUAACUACGUGCCAGCAGCCGCGGUAAUACGUAGGUGGCAAGCGUUGUCCGGAAUUAUUGGGCGUAAAGGGCUCGCAGGCGGUUCCUUAAGUCUGAUGUGAAAGCCCCCGGCUCAACCGGGGAGGGUCA